AAUGAAUGCUGCGGCAGGCCUAACACAUGCAAGUCGAACGGAUCCUUCGGGAUUAGUGGCGGACGGGUGAGUAACGCGUGGGAACAUACCCUUUGGUACGGAAUAGCCUCGGGAAACUGGGAGUAAUACCGUAUGUGGUCGAGAGACGAAAGAUUUAUCGCCAAAGGAUUGGCCCGCGUUGGAUUAGGUAGUUGGUGGGGUAAUGGCCUACCAAGCCGACGAUCCAUAGCUGGUUUGAGAGGAUGAUCAGCCACACUGGGACUGAGACACGGCCCAGACUCCUACGGGAGGCAGCAGUGGGGAAUCUUAGACAAUGGGGGAAACCCUGAUCUAGCCAUGCCGCGUGAUCGAUGAAGGCCUUAGGGUUGUAAAGAUCUUUCAGGUGGGAAGAUAAUGACUGUACCACCAGAAGAAGCCCCGGCUAACUCCGUGCCAGCCGCCGCAGUAA
rnacentral:rRNA from 1 species